rnacentral:piRNA from 1 species
UCGAGAUUAGAAAUGAUGCGCGCUGC